rnacentral:rRNA from 1 species
GUCUAUGGCCAUACCACCCUGAACACACCCAAUCUCGUCUGAUCUCGGAAGCUAAGCAGGGUCGGGCCUGGUUAGUACUUGGAUGGGAGAAUCUAUAUAAAAAGGAGAAAAUGGUAUUCU